rnacentral:rRNA from 1 species
AGUGAACGCUGGCGGUAGGCCUAACACAUGCCAGUCGAACGGCAGCACAGUAAGAGCUUGCUCUUACGGGUGGCGAGUGGCGGACGGGUGAGGAAUACAUCGUAAUCUACUUUUUCGUGGGGGAUAACGUAGGGAAACUUACGCUAAUACCGCAUACGACCUACGGGUGAAAGCAGGGGAUCUUCGGACCUUGCGCGAUUGAAUGAGCCGAUGUCGGAUUAGCUAGUUGGCGGGUUAAAGGCCCACCAAGGCGCGGAUCCGUAGCUGGUCGGAGAGGAUGGUCAGCCACACUGGAGCUGAGACACGGUCCAGACUCCUACGGGAGGCAGCAGUGGGGAAUAGUAGACAAUGGGCGGAAGCCUGAUCCAGCCAUACCGCGUGGGUGAAGAAGGCCUUCGGGUUGUAAAGCCCUUUUGUUGGGAAAGAAAAGCAGCAGGUUAAUACCCCGCUGUUCUGACGGUACCCAAUGAAUAAGCACCGGUUAACUUCGUG